GUCAGAUGAUUUGAAUAAAAAAGCUGAUGUUCUGUGAGGUAUGACAAUAAUAGCAUGUUAGAGUUCUGAUGGCA
rnacentral:snoRNA from 1 species